rnacentral:rRNA from 1 species
GACGAACGCUGGCGGCGUGCUUAACACAUGCAAGUCGAACGCUGAAGCUUGGUGCUUGCACUGGGUGGAUGAGUGGCGAACGGGUGAGUAAUAAGUGAGUAACCUGCCCUUGACUCUGGGAUAAGUCUGGGAAACUGGGUCUAAUACUGGAUACGACAUGUCACCGCAUGGUGGUGUGUGGAAAGGGUUUUACUGGUUUUGGAUGGGCUCACGGCCUAUCAGCUUGUUGGUGGGGUAAUGGCUCACCAAGGCGACGACGGGUAGCCGGCCUGAGAGGGUGACCGGCCACACUGGGACUGAGACACGGCCCAGACUCCUACGGGAGGCAGCAGUGGGGAAUAUUGCACAAUGGGCGGAAGCCUGAUGCAGCGACGCCGCGUGAGGGAUGACGGCCUUCGGGUUGUAAACCUCUUUCAGCACGGAAGAAGCGAAAGUGACGGUACGUGCAGAAGAAGCGCCGGCUAACUACGUG